rnacentral:rRNA from 1 species
CCUACGGGGGGCAGCAGUGGGGAAUAUUGCACAAUGGGGGAAACCCUGAUGCAGCGAUGCCGCGUGAGUGAAGAAGUAUCUCGGUACGUAAAGCUCUAUCAGCAGGGAAGAAAAUGACGGUACCUGACUAAGAAGCACCGUCUAACUACGUGCCAGCAGCCGCGGUAAUACGUAGGGGGCAGGCGUUAUCCGGAUUUACUGGGUGUAAAGGGAGCGUAGACGGCAGCACAAGUCUGGAGGGAAAUCCCGGGGCUUAACCCCGGAACUGCUUUGGAAACUGUGCGGCUGGAGUGCAGGAGGGGUAAGCGGAAUGCGUAGUGUAGCGGUGAAAUGCGUAGAUAUUAGGAGGAACACCGGUGGCGAAGGCGGCUUACUGGACUGUAACUGACGUUGAGGCUCGAAAGCGUGGGGAGCAAACAGGAUUAGAUACCCUUGUAGUC